rnacentral:tRNA from 2 species
AAGGCCUUAAGUUAAGCAAACUAAUAUCCUUCAAAGCUAGAAAUAAAGGGUUUCCUUUAGGCCUUG